rnacentral:rRNA from 1 species
UAGGGAAUCUUCCGCAAUGGACGAAAGUCUGACGGAGCAACGCCGCGUGAACGAAGAAGGCCUUCGGGUCGCAAAGCUCUGUUGUUAGGGAAGAACAAGUAUCGGAGUAACUGCCGGUACCUUGACGGUACCUAACCAGAAAGCCACGGCUAACUACGUGCCAGCAGCCGCGGUAAUACGUAGGUGGCAAGCGUUGUCCGGAAUUAUUGGGCGUAAAGCGCGCGCAGGCGGUCCUUUAAGUCUGAUGCGAAAGCCCACGGCUCAACCGUGGAGGGUCAUUGGAAACUGGGGGACUUGAGUGCAGAAGAGGAGAGUGGAAUUCCACGUGUAGCGGUGAAAUGCGUAGAGAUGUGGAGGAACACCAGUGGCGAAGGCGACUCUCUGGUCUGUAACUGACGCUGAGGCGCGAAAGCGUGGGGAGCAAACAGGAUUAGAUACCCUGGUAGUCCACGCCGUAAACGAUGAGUGCUAAGUGUUAGAGGG